rnacentral:tRNA from 1 species
AGGUCUUUAAGAAAGUGUAAAGGCGAAGAAGAGAUUUUGUUUGUUUGUAGAAGGCUCGCUUUCGCAGGGACAA